rnacentral:rRNA from 1 species
CCCUUAGAUGUUCUGGGCCGCACGCGUGCUACACUGGUGAAUACAGCGAGUGUCCAUUCCCUUGACCGAAAGGUCUGGGUAAUCUUAUGAAAGUUCAUCGUGACAGGGAUUGAUCAUUGCAAUUAUUGAUCAUGAACGAGGAAUUCCUAGUAAAGGCGAGUCAUCAUCUCGCUUUGAUUACGUCCCUGCCCUUUGUACACACCGCCCGUCGCUACUACCGAUUGAAUGGUUUAGUGAGAUCUCCGGAUUGGUGGCCUUGGUACCUUCACGGGUCCAACGGUUCUGCCGAGAAGCUGCUCGAACUUGAUCAUUUAGAGGAAGUAAAAGUCGUAACA